rnacentral:rRNA from 1 species
CAGUAGCCGCGGGAACACGAAGGGUGCAAGCGUUACUCGGAAUUACUGGGCGUAAAGCGUGCGUAGGUGGUGGUUUAAGUCCGUUGUGAAAGCCCUGGGCUCAACCUGGGAAUUGCAGUGGAUACUGGGUCACUAGAGUGUGGUAGAGGAUAGUGGAAUUUCCGGUGUAGCAGUGAAAUGCGUAGAGAUCGGAAGGAACAUCUGUGGCGAAGGCGACUAUCUGGGCCAACACUGACACUGAGGCACGAAAGCGUGGGGAGCAAACAGGAUUAGAUACCCCCGUAGUCCCUGUCUCUUAUAC